rnacentral:rRNA from 1 species
GAUGAACGCUAGCUACAGGCUUAACACAUGCAAGUCGAGGGACCGGCGCACGGGUGAGUAAUACGUAUCCAACCUGCCCUUUACUCGGGGAUAGCCUUUCGAAAGAAAGAUUAAUACCCGAUAUAAAGGAUGGGGAUGCGUUCCUUUAGGUUGUUGGUGAGGUACCGGCCCACCAAGCCGUCGAUGGAUAGGGGUUCUGAGAGGAAGGACCCCGACAUUGGAGCUGAGACACGGGCCAAACUGCUACGAGAGGCAGCAGUGAGGAAUAGUGGUCGGUGAGCGCUAGCCUGAACCAGCCAAGUAGCGUGAAGGAGGAAGGCUUAUGGGUCGUAGACUUGUUUUAUAUAAGAAUAUGUAUUAUAUGAAUAAGGAGCGGCUAACUCCGUGCCAGCAGCCGCGGUAAUAC